rnacentral:rRNA from 1 species
UGACGAGUGGCGGACGGGUGAGUAAUGUCUGGGAAACUGCCUGAUGAGGGGAUAACUACUGGAACGUAGCUAAUACCGCAUAACGUCGCAAAGGACCCAAAAGAGGGGGGAACCCUUCGGGGCCCUCUUGCCAUCGGAUGUGCCCAGAUGGGAUUAGCUUGUUGGUGGGGUAACGGCUCACCAAGGCGACGAUCCCUAGCUGGUCUGAGAGGAUGACCAGCCACACUGGAACUGAGACACGGUCCAGACUCCUACGGGAGGCAGCAGUGGGGAAUAUUGCACAAUGGGCGCAAGCCUGAUGCAGCCAUGCCGCGUGUAUGAAGAAGGCCUUCGGGUUGUAAAGUACUUUCAGCGGGGAGGAAGGGAGUAAAGUUAAUACCUUUGCUCAUUGACGUUACCCGCAGAAGAAGCACCGGCUAACUCCGUG